rfam:Gasterosteus aculeatus cont1.003185, whole genome shotgun sequence.
UUUAAAGUGUAAUGUAAGUCGCUUUGGAUAAAAGCGUCUGCCAAAUGACCUAUA